GAUGGCGACCGGCGCACGGGUGAGUAACACGUAUCCAACCUACCGUUUACUCUCGGAUAGCCUUCCGAAAGGAAGAUUAAUACGGGAUGGCAUUGAGRUUUCACAUGRKAACUCAAUUAAAGAAUUUCGGUAAACGAUGGGGAUGCGUUCCAUUAGAUAGUAGGCGGGGUAACGGCCCACCUAGUCGACGAUGGAUAGGGGUUCUGAGAGGAAGGUCCCCCACAUUGGAACUGAGACACGGUCCAAACUCCUACGGGAGGCAGCAGUGAGGAAUAUUGGUCAAUGGGCGAGAGCCUGAACCAGCCAAGUAGCGUGAAGGAUGAAGGUCCUAUGGAUUGUAAACUUCUUUUAUACAGGAAUAAAGUUUGCCACGUGUGGCAUUUUGUAUGUACUGUAUGAAUAAGCAUCGGCUAACUCCGUGCCAGCAGCCGCGGUAAUACGGAGGAUGCGAGCGUUAUCCGGAUUUAUUGGGUUUAAAGGGAGCGCAGACGGUUUGUUAAGUCAGUUGUGAAAGUUUGGGGCUCAACCUUAAAAUUGCAAUUGAUACUGGCAGACUUGAGUGCAGAUGAGGUAGGCGGAAUUCGUGGUGUAGCGGUGAAAUGCUUAGAUAUCACGAAGAACUCCGAUU
rnacentral:rRNA from 1 species